rnacentral:rRNA from 1 species
AGCUCCAAUAGCGUAUAUUAAAGUUGUUGCAGUUAAAAAGCUCGUAGUUGGAUUUCGGGAUGGUUCUUUCGGUCCACCGCAAGGUGUGUCACUGAAGGAGCUGUUCUUCUUCGCAAAGACUGCGUGUGCUCUUAACUGAGUGUGCGUAAGAUUUGUGACGUUUACUUUGAAAAAAUUAGAGUGUUCAAAGCAGGCCAACGCUUGAAUACAUAAGCAUGGAAUAAUGGAAUAGGACAUCGGUUCUAUUUUGUUGGUUUCUGGAACCUAUGUAAUGAUUAACAGAGAUAGUUGGGGGCAUUCGUAUUUCGUUGUCAGAGGUGAAAUUCUUGGAUUUACGAAAGACGAACUACUGCGAAAGCAUUUGCCAAGAAUGUUUUCAUUAAUCAAGAACGAAAGUAGG